AUGACGUCUCACACAAACAAAACACUGUCGCAAACUGUUAACUACGGAGUCUGCGCCGGGCUCAAUGUCAUUGUCAAAAUGAAUCAUCGCGUAACCGUUAACUUGUUAAUAUGGGCUUCGUUUGAAAUGUCUAGUAUUGCAAGAUCGAUACGGUGAUGUUGACGAUGAGCGUAUGAAGAGAGAGACAGACAGACUGGUUUUCUCCACUGCGGAGGAGCAGAACUCGAAUUAUGGACCUGUGACAACUCCGCCUGAUACAAAUGCUGACGCGAACAAAUUCUUCAUACAAUACAACAAUGUGCCCAUGGGUGCCGAGAAAGUUGGGCAUCGAUUAUUCAUCGCAUUACCUCGACGUAGAUAUGGAAUACCCGCUACGUUAAACUACAUAGAUUUAAACGAUCAAAAUGGCCGAUCGCCAGCCCUGAAACCCUAUCCGAAUAUAUAUUCAGGUAGAUCCCUUAUAUCUGUUUAUCGAACACGAGCAGAAACAUGCGGAAGGCUGUGGAUGGUGGAUACUGGAUUACUGGAGUUGCCGGGUAAGUUGAACCGCCCUUGUCAACGUCUGUCAUAUGACCCGAUAACCUGGUAAACUACUGUUUGUUCAAGACUCAAGACCGCCUAAUUAGACCGACUUUUUUUAUAGAACAGGGGGCAAACGGGCAGGAGGCUCACC